AUGAACAAGUGUAUCUGGACUAUUCUGAGGACAAAAGCAACUAUAAUCCUCCAUUUAUUCAUAUUCUGAUUGGGAGCACACUUGAUAUUUGAUGACAGGAAGUGAUCGCAAAUUAACCAAUGUGAAGUGCAGAUGGCCUGCUAUAUUUAUGUAGAGACUGUGGCAGUGAGCAAAUUCAGUUCUAAGCAAAAUGAUAUCUAAUAUGGUGAUUUAUGCAAAACCGAGUUGGCUCAACACUAUUAAAAUGACUGAAAGCAUGAGGGCAGCAAUGAACAUGUUAUGUGAAUGAACUCUCCAGUACCACUGAAAGGUGCACUCCAUUUCUGAUGAGGGAGGACCCACAGCUGAAGCCUCCAAAUAAAAAAUGCAAAAACUCAUUCAUUCAAGCCCUAUGCACCACCUCAGCC